rnacentral:rRNA from 1 species
GAUGAACGCUGGCGGCGUGCUUAACACAUGCAAGUCGAACGAGAAGUGAAGACGGAAACCUUCGGGCGGAAGGCUUUAUUUCGAGUGGCGGACGGGUGAGUAACGCGUGGGUAACCUGCCUCAUACAGGGGGAUAACAGUUGGAAACGACUGUUAAUACCGCAUAAGACCACAGCACCGCAUGGUGCGGGGGUAAAAACUCCGGUGGUAUGAGAUGGACCCGCGUUCGAUUAGCCAGUUGGCGGGGUAACGGCCCACCAAAGCGACGAUCGAUAGCCGAUCUGAGAGGAUGACCGGCCACAUUGGGACUGAGACACGGCCCAAACUCCUACGGGAGGCAGCAGUGGGGAAUAUUGCACAAUGGGGUAAACCCUGAUGCAGCGACGCCGCGUGAGUGAAGAAGUAUUUCGGUAUGUAAAGCUCUAUCAGCAGGGAAGAAAAUGACGGUACCUGAGUAAGAAGCCCCGGCUAACUACGUG